rnacentral:rRNA from 1 species
AGUGAACGCUGGCGGCGUGCCUAAUACAUGCAAGUCGAACGAAGUGGCGCACGGGUGAGUAAUAUAUAGUUAAUCUGCCCUACACAGAGGAAAAACAGUUGGAAACGACUGCUACUACCUAAAAGUGUAGGAGGAGACUACAUCUUAUCAGUUAGUUGGUAAGAUAAUGGCUUACCAAGGCUAUGACGCGUAACUGGUCUGAGAGGAUGAUCAGUCACAUUGGAACUGAGACACGGUCCAAACGCCUACGGGAGGCAGCAGUAAGGAAUAUUGCGCAAUGUGGGAAACCCUGACGCAGCAACGCCGCGUGGAGGAUGACACUUUUCGGAGCGUAAACUCCUUUUAUCAGGAAAGCGGUACCUGAUGAAUAAGCACCGGCUAACUCCGUGCCAGCAGCCGCGGUAAUUC